rnacentral:rRNA from 1 species
UACGGAGGGGCUAGCGUUGUUCGGAAUUACUGGGCGUAAAGCGCGCGUAGGCGGACCUGCAAGUCGGGGGUGAAAGCCCGAGGCUCAACCUCGGAACUGCCUUCGAUACUGCGGGUCUCGAGUCCGGGAGAGGUGAGUGGAAUUCCUAGUGUAGAGGUGAAAUUCGUAGAUAGUUAGGAAGAACACCAGUGGCGGAAGGCGGCUCACUGGCCCGGUACUGGACGCUGAGGCACGGAAAGCGUGGGGAGCAAACAGG